GUCGAGGGUCGGCUAGCGAUGGUCGUCGACGGCCAGGUCGUCGAUGUCGAGCGGGCCAGCGGCGGGCGGUUCGACGCCGCCCCCCAGGCG
rnacentral:tRNA from 1 species